CAAUCAUGAUUUUUCACAAUGUUAGUUGGAAAAGUUGUGGAUAUUUAUUUCGAUAUUUCGCCACGAAAAGUUCGUAUUUUUGAAGGUAAGUUUUUAUAAUUGUUUUAAAUAUGAGUCAAAUUAACGAUUUUUUCUUUAUUUGGUGUUUUAACAACGUUUAGUUGUAUGUUAAUCGCAAUUUGUAUUGACCUGUUUUCCGGGUCAAUGCACAAGUGUCAAAAGUGGCUUUCAAAACCGCUGGGGACAAUUGGGUUUAUAAAUGAGUAAAUUAAAUAAAAGACACGGCAUCGUAUUCAGGAAGAGUUGUUCUUUCUAUGAGAAGUUUAAAAAAUGAAUUGUCCCCAUCAAACUGACGAGUAAUCGCGGUUUGAAAAUGGGGCAUUUUCGGUAUACUAUGUCGCCCAUCGCGGGAAUAGUCGACCGCAUGGGAAUUAUGGCGCGAGGAAAAUUACUGUGCGAGUCGUUAUUUUUGUUUUAUUUCGAAGCAUGCGCAUAUAUGUCGGGUGAUUGCUAGAUAGUAUACUUCAAAAUAAGGUUUCCGUUUUUAUAACGUAGAAAAAACUAUCCUAACGCAAAACUAAACCCUAACCCUAAUACUAUCCCUCACCCUAACCUUAACCUAACCCUAACCUAAACCCUAACCUAACCCUAACUUAUUUUAAAAAUAGAAUAAAAACGGAAAUCUUAUUUUGAAGUAUACUAUCUAGCAAUUGCCAUAUAUGUCGAUCGUUGUUGAGUUUAACUGCUGCAUUUAAGUUAAAUACACUGUAUUUUACCAUUAUUUUUAUAGAAUUCGAAUAUAUUUUGUGAAAAUGGAAUCUGAUGAUGGCAAUGUUGUUUAUAUUGUUGAUCCUAAGUAUGGGAAAAGUUGAACUUAUGAAUUUAAUGCUGUUUUAGAACUGUUAUUGAGCAAACUGUUCCUACAUCCUGCUUUGGCAAAUGGUAUAACAUCUAAUCCAGCCAAGUUGUGCUCAUGAUCCAUUCAACUGAUUCAAGCAAUGAAACUAUUGAACCAGAAUAAUAAGAGCAACCUGUUAUAUAAAUUUGCCCAUACCUGCCUUUUAAUAGAUACAUAUUUUAGUAGACAUUUUACAUAUAAAUAUUGGUGUAUUGGUGACAUGAAAAUGUUGCAAUGAAUCUUAAGUAUUUACUUUAUAUAUUGUAACUUUGAAUAAAGCAUUUUAUUAACAUCAAUUAUGUAUGACCACUGCAUUU